GCCUAAUUGACUUUAAAACUAUGCACAUACGCUUAAUGAUCCUAAAUAAUAAACGACAAUUAGAUUCCUUAUCUAAAAUAUGUGUGAGAACUAAUGGUAAAAAUCCAUAACAUCUCACACAUAAACAACAUUAUUGUUGCUGAUAUUAUUGAUCUCUCUUGGAACUCAUCGAAACAAAGUGAUCGUCGACCAGUAGAAGCGAAAAAAAAAAUGGCGAGACUGAGACGAGCUGAAAAGUAUCCAGGUCACAUUUCGCACAAAACUGACUGUUCUACGAAGUUAAUUUAAAAACAACACUUCCGACUGGGUGCAAAAUAAUUCUUGGCGAUUAUUUCUGGCAGGUGUACUUAUUUCGUGGGCAGCAUCUUCCAAAAAGGAGCGCUCCUAACGCAACUAUUCUGGACCUUCCUGCGUCACUCCGAGCGGCACAAAUCAUUCCAAUCAGUGAUAAGCACUCCUAUGCAGCUUUGGUUCUGCUGUUGACUAAUUUUGUGGAACAUGAAAAGUUGUUCUUCGACACAGGUUCCGGUUACAUGCUGCCAGGAUUGCACCCGAAAAUGUCCGUGAGGUUAUGAAAAAGAUUUCCUGCCAUUCAUUUCGAUCUACUACGAUGGAGUAUCCUGCUGCUGAGAAGAGCAGCAUCUGAUGCAGGAGCCAACUGGACUCGAACCGGUUCAAAUAAAAAAUGGCACGGAAUAUCGUUCGAGAGAUUAUUCCUCUUGCAUCGCUUUAUUUAAAGGCAUUUAUGGAUGGCACUUGUACUCCUGAGCGUAAUCAUCU